GACGAACGCUGGCGGCGUGCUUAACACAUGCAAGUCGAACGGAAAGGCCCUGCUUUUGUGGGUUGCUCGAGUGGCGAACGGGUGAGUAACACGUGAGUAACCUGCCCUUGACUUUGGGAUAACUUCAGGAAACUGGGGCUAAUACCGGAUAGGAGCUCCUGCUGCAUGGUGGGGGUUGGAAAGUUUCGGCGGUUGGGGAUGGACUCGCGGCUUAUCGGCUUGUUGGUGGGGUAGUGGCUUACCAAGGCUUUGACGGAUAGCCGGCCUGAGAGGGUGACCGGCGACAUUGGGCCUGAGAGAGGGAGCAGACGCGUACGGGACGCAGCAGGGGGAAAUAUUGCACAAUGGGGGGAAGUGUGAUGCAGCGACGCUGCGUGCGUGAUGACGGGCUUCGAGUUGUAAACCGCUUUCGCCGGUGACGAAGCGUGAGUGACGGUAAUGGGUAAAGAAGCACCGGCUAACUACGUG
rnacentral:rRNA from 1 species